GAUGAAGAACGCAGCGAAAUGCGAUAAGUAGUGUGAAUUGCAGAAUUCAGUGGAUCAUCGAAUCUUUGAACGCACAUUGCGCCCCUUGGUAUCCCGAGGGGCAUGCCUGUUCGAGCGUCAUUUCACCACUCAAGCCUGGCUUGGUGUUGGGCGACGUCCCCUUUGGGGACGCGCCUCGAAACGCUCGGCGGCGUGGCACCGGCUUUAAGCGUAGCAGAAUCUUUCGCUUUGGAAGUCGGGGCCCCGUCUGCCGGAAGACCUACUCGCAAGGUUGACCUCGGAUCAGGCAGGGAUACCCGCUGAACUUAAGCAUAUCAAUAAGCGGAGGA
rnacentral:misc_RNA from 1 species